rnacentral:rRNA from 1 species
UCUGGUGAUGAAGGCGAAGUGGACACACCUGUACUCAUCCCGAACACAGAAGUUAAGCACUUCAGCGGCGACAAUAGCUAAGCAAGCUCCAGUGAAGAUAGCACGUUGCCAGGU